GACCGACUCUAAAAUUCCGGACGCGCAGUAUGGUUAUGAAAAAGGUUUAACUAUCGCGCUAGCGGCUUUAUCCGGAGCGAACCGGGUUUGCGA
rnacentral:ncRNA from 1 species